rnacentral:lncRNA from 1 species
CUGAAGCUUUUCAGACCAAUUUCGGCUUUACAGGGUGAGAUAUAUGGGGAAGGAAAGGGGAGAGUGUGAGGGAAGACACUACAUUACCUUCUUAUGGAUUGUAAAAGAAGAAUAGAUCUAUCAGAAUUGAUACUGAAAUUUUACUUGGUGACGACUACUGAUUUCCUAGUUGCCGAAGAGAGUUCAAGGUAAUUUGAAACUAUGCUAGCAGUUAUCGAAUAACACAGCAGAAUUCACUUGUGCUAUUAUAGUUAUCUUUAUUUCAGCGGCCAACAUGAUAUGUGUUGAUUAUGUUCGGUUAAUUGAUUGACUCCCAUGUCUUAUUAUUUUUAUCAGAUUUACAGUUCAUCGUCUUAUACUGGAACACCUCAGUUUCUUGAAAACAACAUUAGAGUAAAACCAGACCUAGAUGCCCUUGGUGCACUAGGAGAUCCAGGGUGGUACAGCAUUGGUGCCAUAUUAUGGUCUAUGAACCAAAAACUGCCAACAACAGUCACUGCUCUAUCUGCCAUAGCCCGAAACUCGGCUGGGGUCAUCUUAUCAUGCAGCGCCUCUUUAUACUAGGGCCCUGUUUGGGCCCGAUUUUUUCCUCCAAAAAAUUGAUUUUUUGACCGUUAUUUCACUAUUCCAGCCGUCAUAUUUGACUUCUUCUCUCACGGGUGGACCCCACUUUUCUUCUAACGGUCAAAAAAUCAAUUCUCAAAAUCACUCCCAAACAACCUCUAGGACGAAGAAAAAACUGUACCAACAUUUUACUGCUCCUUAAUCUCGCACGAAACCAUGGAUUUGGCUGUCUAUGGUUCUAAUGGGACACUUCAUGUUGAAGAUUUUAUAAUCCCUUAUGAAGAGAGUUCUGCGACAUUUAGCUUUAUCUGGGGCUAAGUUUUUGGAUCUUCAUAUUGGGUGGAAUGUUAAACCUCAAGAAGUUCAAGUGGCGUGUGAGUUACCACAGGAGGCCAUGAUGAUUCAAGAGUUUUCCAGGCUUGUCAAGGGCAUAAAAAUUUCCUGACUUAGACCAGAUAGCAAGUGGUCCAGUUCGACUAGAAGUACACAACUGGUGCUUGAUGCAGUAAAGAAUUCCAUAGAUAUUGGUUUUAAACCUGUUCAGUUGUAAGCAGACUUCUUCUAAACUGGUUUUUGAAAUAAAUUUCGUACAAAUUUUGAUGCUAAUAUGGUCGAAUUGUGCUCUGUCGGUAACCU